GCACCUAAGUGGAAUGCGCAUGCGCGGGGCUCCAUUUACCUCCGGCUGCCUUCAGUUAGCUCUGGGACACCUGCUGCUUUGCUGCCGCUCUUUUGUGCUAUUUUCCCCAGGGAUCGGGUACCAUUCUGGACCCACGUUCAGUGAAUUCGUUACUCCGCAGAGUUGCUCUUGGGCGCUGGGAGGGUGGUGCGCUCUCGGUCCGCAGUCAGGGGCCUGUUUGCGGGGAGCCUCCCGGGUCGGGUGCUGCUGCUUGCAGCCUCGGGGGAGAGACCGUCCUGUUGCGGUAAGCACCCGCAGCUGGGAAGCCUGCGGACCCCGAGCCCCGUCCGCCAGGCACCAUCCAGUCUGGGUUGAAUCUGGGUGUGACAGAACUAGUGAUGACAGCGCAGGUUCCUGACCGAUGAAAUAAACUAGGUUUUCAUAGCUGUUCUCUGAUGAUCUUGGUAUAGUAUUCGCCUGUGUCUUUCAAAAGUAAUCUCACAUUUCAAGAGACUAACGCUUCCUGUUUUUGCCAGAUGUUUAAGGCAUGAGGAUAAAUCUGGUCCAUGUUACUCCAUCCUGGACAGAAGCAGAAGUCAGCUAUCUCCACUAAUCAUCCCCAUCAGAAGUGGUUUGCAAUUCAGAAAUUGCUUCAGCCUGAGGGAACUGUCAGUGCCUGGGCCCUGAAGCAGAAGAGGUCCCCGAAGCAUGUCCUGGAGGAACAGUAAUGAGGUCAUGGGGCGGGGGGGCAGAGUGGAGAGGAGAAGAGCUUGGGAUGACAGAAUGUUACUGGUGUAUCUGUUUCCUAUUGCUGCUGUAACAGUUUGGCACAAAUGUGGUAGCUUUAAGCAACACCAAUUUAUUAUCUUACAGUCCUGGAGGUUAGAAUCCAAAACGGAUCUCACUGGGCUAAUACUGAGAUGUCAGCAGGGCUGCAUUCCUUCUGGAGGUUCUAGGGGAGCAUCUGUUUUCUUGCCUUUCCAGCUGCUACAGGCUGCCCGCUUUGCUUAUUAGCUUGUGGUCCCCUUCUAUCUUCAAAGCCAGCGAUGGCCAGUCAUCACUCUAACAGUGACAUUCCUGUCUCUCCCUCAAUUUUUCUUCUUUUUUCUUUUUUUGCUGCACUGAGUGGCUUCUGAAAUCUUAGUUCCCCAACCAGGGAUCGAACCCAGGCCCUUGGCAGUGAGAGUGCCAAGUCCUAACCACUGGACCGCCAGGGAGUUCCCCUCGCCCUCACUUAUAAAGACCCUUGUGAUUAUAUUCGUAGCCACCAAUUAGCCCAGGGUUAUCUCCUCACCUCAAGGUAGGUUGAUUGGCAACCUUAAUGCCCCCUUGCCAUGUAACAGAACGUUCGCAGGUUGUGGGGAUUAGGAUAUGGACUUCUUUGGGGACCAUUCUUCUGCCUACCACAGCUGGAGACUUGUUAGGUAGAGAAUUUGGCUUUACUCUGUGAUGGGAAGUAACUAGAGUGUGUUGAGCAGAGGAUGGAUGUGAUAUGCCUUAUGUUUUAAAAGGCCCAUUCCAGAUACAGUUAGAAGAACAAACAGUGGGGAGGCAUAGGCAAGGGUAGAAACAGAAACAGGAUUCACUGAAGGAUUGGAUGUGGAAUGUGAGGUAGGAAUUAAAAAUUACUCCAUCAGCAAUGCACAAGGUUUCCUGCAUUCUACUAAAUAUUCGGUGCUACCCACCUAUCUGCCAUUCAGAGGGUAGAAAACUUGCAUUUCUCUGAUUUCUAAUAAGUCUGAGCAUCGCUUUAUGCACACGUUAUCUUUUGGGGAUUCUCCAAUCGGUGAAUUAUGUCUCUGUAUCCUUUGCCCAUUUUUCUAAUGGGUUUCCUGUUUCCUUGUUAAUUCAUAGUUGUUCUUGUUAUAUUAUAGCUAUAAAUCCCUUGUCAGCUUGGACAGCACAUCUUCCAGUCCUUUCUCUGAACUUUGUUUACAAUUUCUUUUUUUAUUUUAAUUUUUGAAUUUUAUUUAUUUUUUUAUA